rnacentral:lncRNA from 1 species
AUGUUUGCUUGUUUAUUCAAAGACAUAAGAACCCUGAAAGAAGAGGAGAAAGAUGAAAAGGAUGAAAGCGCAGAGAAAGUGGAAAUUGCAGAAAAAGCACCAAAACCAGAACUGAUCCCUAAAGCCGAGGAAGUGAAAGAAAAAGAAGCAGAGAAACCUGUGGCAAAGGCUGAAAAAGAAGACAAACAAAAAGAGCCCUCUCCCUGUCCUUGUAUGCAUUCAGUAUUACAAAAAGAGCCUCAAAAAGCCCAAGACACUAAACCAAAGGAAGAAAAAGAAGCAGAGACUAAGAGAAGGGAACCCCUGCUUAAACAGAGAAAAGGUGCAGUAGCACUCUUUACAUCAAAGUUAUUAUUUUUUACUCAGAUCAGAAUAUUAAAUAUAGAUAGGCAUUUGUUUGUGGAAGAAUAUUGUACUGAAGUCUUUUUUUUUCACCUCCUCACUGACAUUUGCUCAUCAGAAAAAGAGGCUCCAAGAAGAACAAGACUAGAAAAAGCAAAGAAAGGUAAAAAAGAAAAAUCACAAUGUGUGCCUGCUUUUUUAUAUCAUCAUACCCUGAAAGACUUGUUUCAAAUGAUUUUUAUAAUCAUAGCGAUGAAUAUUGCAGAAUUUAAUUUGCUCUCUGCUUCACAGCUCCAAAAGCAAAGGCAGCGGCUGUCAACAUACCCAAAACGAGAAGAUCUCGAGCCUCAGAGGACAUGGAAGUGUCAGCUGCUCCAGCUCCAAUACAGGAUCUUCCUAUGUGCCGACCAACACCUGUGUACUGCCCAGCGCCACCUGGCUGGUAUGGUGAGUAAAGCAGCCACCUACAAUUACUGUAACUCAACGUGCUUUACAUAA